rnacentral:misc_RNA from 1 species
UUAAGUUCAGCGCGUAUUCCUACCUGAUCCGAGGUCAACCAUAGAAGUUUCCUUGUAGCAAGGAGGGGACCGGGUCCCGGGUGCCCUCGUCCGAUACGUGCUCGAUGAAAAGCUCAGUGUACCGGGGGAACCACAGGCCGCCGUCAUUGUCUUUAGGAGGGGUCGAUCGCUCGACCGGCCGUCCAACACCAAGCCCAGGG